GUGAGUAUUUAUAAUUGGUGAAUAUCUGGG
rnacentral:piRNA from 1 species